CCCAGUUUCAAAUACUAUUAUUAACAAACUGCUUAUUUCAGCAUAUGCACUGUAUCGAUAUACCCCAUCUUCGAUCAUCGCGCAGUUUGUAGCAAACCCAAAUUGUUCUACAUACCAAAGAAAUCUUAUCACGAUCGUUGACUUCAUGACAUUUUAUACAUCCACAUCGCGUUCUACUCAGAAUAAAAUACACUGCAAUACCACUCACAGCACCAACACAUACGGCGCUCAACCAUUUUGAACAGGAAAAUAAAUUAAAACCACAAUUUUGUGUUGAAGGCAUCCCCUAAAGUUAACCGAAAUACAAGAUUUAGCUCAAAAAUUCAAUCAUCACAUUAUGAUUC